ensembl:lncRNA
UGCCCCCAGCUCUGUGCAGACCGUGGUGGGUGCAAAGGACCUGGGCUCACCCCAGCAUCCCGCUCUGCUAGGUCAGGACUCUGUGCCAGGACCUCCGUGAGGAGGUCAUUGAGAUGAAGGUGGAGCAGUCCCGCAUGAUGGAGGACAUGCAGAGGAUGCAGGAGGAGUUUGCCACGGUGAGCUGCCCCUCAUUGUGCUGCCCUGCCACCCCUGCCCUACAGCCCUUGGAGGCUCCCAGCAUGAAGGGCACCAGGAGGGACGAGUGGGAAGGGUGUCCUAGGGUGCUCAGGGGAAUUGUGGGGUGUUGGGUGAAGGGCUCAUCCCAACCCACCUGGAGCCCCCCACUUGCCUUCUGCCAGCACUGUCUCAGGGAGGGCUGAAGGGCACCACUGCCCACAGAUGAGGCUGGUGGUAGAGGUCACUGCCUCCCUCAGGGCUGCUGGGGCAUUUAUGAACUGAACAGCCAUCAAAAAAAAAGUAACCUGGGUCCUGGGAAGGUGGGGAGACAAAGGUCCACCUGUGAAAUACAGCCACAGCCACUUGGCAUAGCACUGUGUCUGGUGUCCAAAUUAAUUUUCAAAUGUUCCUUUUAAAACCUGCUCCUGUGUUGUGACUCCUGUCCCUGUCCUCACCAUACUCCACGGGAACUUCUAGAACGUGGAUGAGCUCCGUAACCAGUUGCUGUCUACCAUGACGGAAAUGCUCCAGGGCAAAAAAGGCUCCCGGGACGUGGAUACUCUCUCUGUCCAGUCACGGCCGUUGGAUGACGACCUGAUUGUCAUCGGCAAUGAAAGUACCUCUGGGCACGGCUGGGGAGGGACUCGCAGGGUGGGAGGGCACAGGGGGCCUGCAGAUGCUGGGUGUUUCCCCAGCCCUGACCCUGGGGAGCUCCCUCUGGUCUCUUCUUCCAGUUACCCUCGUGGAUAGAUCUGUAUCGAGGCUUGGGGACAUGCGGCCUGCCAGCCCUAUGCCCCAGAGGGGCAAGACACCCAGCAGAGGGAAGGGUUUGCUGGAGCCAAAUGCCAGCAGCCAACCGGUCUCCGAGGCACAUGACAUGGGACAGAACGUGGGACGGAGUGACAUGGGACGGAGGGGCAUGGGAUGGGACACAGGACAGAGGGACAUGGGACGGAGGGGCAUGGGAUUGGACACAGGACAGAGGGACAUGGGACAGAGUGACAUGGGACAGAAUGGGGGACAGCAGAAGGUGAGACGAAAGGUGCAGCUGAGCGACACAGGACAGGAUGACGUGGGACAGAUCAAGGAUGGAGAGAUCAAGAUGAGUACUUCCAAGGCAGAGACUCUUCCCAGUGACCUGGAUGUUCCUCCUGAGAUCGCCGAUGUGGGAGAGAUCAUGGAUGAAGAGAGGAAGAUAAGUAUUUCUAAGGCAGAGACUCUUCCCAGUGACCUGGAUGUUCCUCCUGAGAUUAUUGAUGCAGGAGAGAUCAUGGAUACAGACAUCAUGGAUGAAAAGAUCCAAACGAGCAUGUCUAAGGUAGAGGCUUUUCCCAGCCUCCUGGAUGGUUCCCCUGAGAUGACCAGUAUGGGAGAGAUCAAGGAUGGAGAGACCAAGAUGAGCUUCUUCAAGGCUCCUCCUGACGUUCAGAAAAAAGGUUUGGAUAGUGGUUUCACUGCCUCGGGAAUGCAUCCAGGAGCCCCUGGCACCCACCCCCCAGUCCAGCAGGUGCAGCCAAUAGGAGUCCCCCCAGGAUCCCAGAAACUCUGGACCCCAGACAAGAGUGUGGCUGGGACUAGCAGACACCCCCCGACGCGGCCAUCGGCGCCGCCGCAGUCCCCCAGCUUCUCUGGGCACCUGCCCCGUGCUUUCAAGCGGCACCCUUGUGUUCCAGUACCGAGGCGCAGGGAGCUGGCACCCCCGGGCUAUUCCCGCCGAUCACCGCUGUACUCUGGGGGCAAACACACCACCACCUACGCCGUGCAGCCCAUGGAGCCCCUCCUUCCAGACCCCAACAAGGUAGGGAUGGGGAAGGGGGGAUACAGACAGCGGCCACCGAGGCUGAGGGUGAUGCUGAGCGUCUGGGGGAGCAUCUAUGCCUCAGUUUCUCCAGGAGGAGCUGGGUGGAGAGGCUGCCUUGGGGAUGCUGAAUGUAGCCCAGUGUGGCAGCCAGCCCAUCUCCUCCUUCCCAGCCUGGUGUGUGUGAGCUGAUGGGCAAGGACGGACUCUUGUACCGGGGCCGGACUCCCUAGGGCUGGACUGAGCACCGACUCCAGCCUGCAGCAAUAAAGGGAGAUGAGCAGCCGAGCAACUGUGCCUCCUGAGUGGAGCAGGAUCUUCUCUUCGUGCACAAGGAGAGGCUGGCAGCAUCCCUCAUCUGAGAACAGCCCCUGUGAACCCCCUCCCAGGGCCUGUGUCAGCCUCCGGGUGUCGCACACCCCUGGCCCUCACGAGCCCCACUUGUGCCCUGCCAGGGGAGCCUGUGGCCCCCAAAGGGGUCUGGGACAGCAGGGGAGGAGGAGCUCAUUUGCUGCUGGAGAAGGAGAAAAUGGGGACCUCAGUGGGAAGGGCAGCAGCAGAACAGUUUGAUACCAAAAGCAAAUCCCACCCCAAGCCACUGGUUUGCUGUCACCCAUCCCCGGGAUGAGCAUCACUGAGCUGCCUUCCCCAUCUCCAGGUGAAGAAACCCCCCCUGUCACCCCCGUGUCCUUCUUGCAGUGCUGCCAUUGAUUGAAGGCACAAACCCCUCUGCUCCCCACCUCCAACCAAUACACCACAACCCCUGGAGAGUGACAUGUCCCUUCCUUUCCCUUGUGCCACCCCCAAGGCUUGGGGCUGCUCCUCCCCAGGCCCCUGUGCCACCCACCCGUCACCGUGGAUGGGAGGAAGCCUCAGUGGGUGCUGAGACUGAACACACGCCGUCGGGGGGGGGGAUACUGGGCAGGGAGCAGCAUGGGGGCACUGAGGGGUGUCACAGCUGGGGACACACGGCUGUGUGCACAGGCAGUGACCCUUCCUGGGGGGACACAGAGCUGGUGGCACCUCUCAGUGAGUGGGAGGGUGAGAAACGCUGAGGGGAAUCCCAGAGGAACCUGGGGUGACCCAGAGCUUAUGGGGGACAUCCCCUGGGGGCUGCCCUGUGGAAGCCCUGCCCUCCUGGUGGAUGUCCCCAUACCUUCCCCCCCCCCGAAGGGACAGCCUCCAUCCCUGUCUGCUCCACUGUAUUCCACAGACAUCUCAGUUCCCAGGGAGUUCCCCCUGGGAUGUUCUCCCUGGUGGGUUUGGUUUUUCAGGAGAAAACCGGGUGCUCAAAACCACUUUGGGGGUACUGAGGUGGUCACAGCAGGACCUGGGAUGCCCCCAGUGCCACCUCCUUUAAGAUAACUGGGAACGCUCUGAGCAAACCCCUGGGCACCAGAGCAGAGCCAACAAAGAACCAUCCUGCACUCCUGGCUGGGGUUCAGUGGCGUAAAAACAAACAUCUCUGGGGCCAGUUUGCAGGACAUGGCCCAGCUGGGUCAGCUCUUUGGUGCCCAUCAGCCCCCUGCCCCCAGGAUGCAGAUGCACCCUAUAAACACCCCACCCCCUGAACACACCCAGCCUUGGGUGAUCUUUGGAGCAGGUAAGUGAUCCCAGAUGGGGGAUUUUUUAGCCUUUUCUCCUUGGAGUUUGGAGCAGGUAAGUGAUCCCAGAUGGGAGAUUUUUUUGCCUUUUCUCCUUGGAGUUUGUACCAUCCCAGGGACCUCCCCAUCCCUACAGGAAGCUUUGGACUGCUAUUCCCAGAGCUGCUGUGUUCCCAUUUUGGGGGUUUUACCCCAGCUGUUUGGUGUGUGAACACAGUGACCACAGGUCUGGUGAGCUCCCAUGUCCUCUGGCUGGUGACCCUUCUGCAGAGGGGGACAUCAUCCCCUCCCCAAGUGUCCCCACAGUGCUGAGGCCUGGAGGGGGCUCCUUACUGGGUGGGUGAUGGGGCUGGGGGGCCCAGGUUGCUGGGGGGGUUUUUGCUAGCUGUGAGAUUUUGUGAGAGGACACACAGGGGUGCCAGCUGCAGCCCCUGGCACAGGGGGUUCCUCACUGUGCCAGCACAGCACCCCCAUGGCCCUGGGUCUUCCCUUCCCUCUGACCCCUCCUCUUUGGGGACAGCAGUGGUGGCUUGUGGAGGCAGAGCAGGGACUCAAGUCCCCAGUGGUGAUGCUGCCUCACACAGGAGUCACCUUCAUUUUCAGCUACACCCACCCAGAAGAGAGAAAAGGCAGGGAUAGCUGGUGUUAAAAAAGUGAUUUUUUUUUUAAUUUUUAUUAUUUUUUAAAUUAAUAAAAAACCUUCAACCUGUUUUUUGCUGGGUCUUUUUUUUUUUUUUUUUGGUUUGUUUUUCUGUUUGUUUUUUUUAAGGGGGGGGGGGGGGGGGGGGGGGGGGGGGGGGGGGGGGGGGGGGGGGGGGGGGGGGGGGGGGGGGGGGGGGGGGGGGGGGGGGGGGGGGGGGGGGGGGGUUCUGUUUGUUUUUUUUAAGCAACAUUGAUUUGAAAACUAAAAAACCCCCAGCUCCCCCCUGCCUGGGGAAGCGCCACAUAGGGCGGUCACAGGGACAGGGGGACAUCACUUUGAUAAACCCCCAGGCCCUGGGGGUGCUGAGGGAGGGAGGACAGGGUUGGGGGCAAGUCCAGGGGGGGUCUGUGCAAGAAGCCGGGCUGAAUUUCGGGAGCCAGAGAGCUGCAUUUGCUCUGAGCACUGCAACGAGUGCCCAGGGAAGGCAGAGCUGGGGAGGGUGUCCAUGGCUCCACGUCUGUGUGGCCAUGAUCUGGGGUGCCAACAGCCACCUCCAUCCAUUCAUUCUUGUUAUUCCUGUCCUCCCCUUCCUUCUCCUGCCCUCAUGUAGAGAGGCUGGGUGAGGUUAGAGCCACAGGGAAAACCCCCCAGACACCCAGCAGCUGCCUCCACGCUGCUGCACCUUCUCUCUGCAUUUAUAUACAUUAGAUAUAUUUAUAUAUUAUAGUUAUAUAUUUUUUAAAAAAAAGGGGAGAGGAGUAGAGAGCAGCCAGAGGCUCUCAUGGGGUCAGUGCCCUCCCUGGCAGCAUGUGCUCCCCCCCCUUAAAAAUAAUAAUAAAACCUAGAAAAUUAUUCCAGUGCGUUUCUCGGCGAGCCCCCGCCCCCAAGGGGGGGGGGGGGGGGGGGGGGGGGGGGGGGGGGGGGGGGGGGGGGGGGGGGGGGGGGGGGGGGGGGGGGGGGGGGGGGGGGGGGGG